AGAACGAACGCUGGCGGCAGGCUUAACACAUGCAAGUCGAGCCGCCCCGCAAGGGGAGCGGCAGACGGGUGAGUAACGCGUGGGAACGUACCCCUCGGUUCGGAAUAACUCAGGGAAACUUGAGCUAAUACCGGAUACGGCAUUCAAGAGAAAUCUUGGCGGCGAAAGAUUUAUCGCCGAGGGAUCGGCCCGCGUCCGAUUAGCUAGUUGGUGUGGUAAUGGCGCACCAAGGCGACGAUCGGUAGC
rnacentral:rRNA from 1 species